rnacentral:misc_RNA from 1 species
AGCAGCCGCGGUAAUUCCAGCUCCAAUAGCGUAUAUUAAAGUUGUUGCAGUUAAAAAGCUCGUAGUUGAAUUUCGGGAUUGACACAUCGGUCGUGCCUUAAGGGGUAUGAACUGGUGUAGUCAAUUUCUCACCUUCUGGAGAACCGCGAUGCCCUUAAUUGGGUGUCGCGGGGAACCAGGACCUUUACUUUGAAGAAAUUAGAGUGUUUAAAGCAGGCAUUUUGCUUGAAUACAUUAGCAUGGAAUAAUAAAAUAGGACGGCAUGAUUCUAUUUUGUUGGUUUCUAGGAUCACCGUAAUGAUUAAUAGGGAUAGUUGGGGGCAUUAGUAUUCAAUUGUCAGAGGUGAAAUUCUUGGAUUUAUUGAAGACUAACUACUGCGAAAGCAUUUGCCAAGGAUGUUUUCAUUAAUCAAUGAACGAAAGUUAGGGGAUCGAAGACGAUCAGAUACCGUCGUAGUCUUAACCAUAAACUAUGCCGACUAGGAAUCAGACGAUGUUAAUUUUUUAAUGACUCGUUUGG